GCCGGCAUAGCUCAGCUGGUAGAGCAACUGAUUUGUAAUCAGUAGGCCCGGGAUUCGACUUCUCGUGCCGGCACCA
rnacentral:tRNA from 1 species